ACGUCGGAUGCCCGAAGUGGAAAUACCCGAGCGCUUUCAGUCGAUAUCGUAUGUGCGUAUGGGUAAUUUGUGCGCAUACUCAUGGAGGUUCAAUAAGAAAUGUAUGAAAUACUUGGUACAUGUAGAUUUGAGUAGAGAUAUUCAAAGUAAUAUGUACAAAAGAGAUCAAGACAUCACAAGAAACAAUAAUGUGGCUUCCUUCCUUAGUAAUUGAUAACUGUUGUUUAUCGUAGUAAACGACUCAGGAAAGAAUUUGAUUAAUAAUGACAUCCAUUUAUUGAAUAUAUCCAUGGCAUAUCUAUCGACUAUAUACAAAUGCUAAAAUAUGUAUUGCACUACAGUGGACAAAAAAAAUAUAUUUCAUUAGUUGUUCUCAAUAUUUAAAUCUAAACUCUUUUUCCUGUAAUAAACUUUAUUUAAUAUAUUUCAUAAUCAAUUAUAGAUUUUCAACAUACAUUUACUAGAAUUGUUUGUUUUGAAUACAGAAUAUUUUUAGGUUAAUCCUCAAUCAUCGGUCUGAUGACAUCGCGUAGAUCAAACAUACGAAUUAAAAUCGUAGAGUAGGCCAUGGAACACCCAAAGUAGGUAUCAGUUCCUAA